GCCCUGAUAGUAUAAACAUUACGCUGGUCUUGUAAACC
rnacentral:tRNA from 1 species